ACAUGUUUAGUAUAAGUUAAUAUAUUGGAUUUAGGUUCCAAAGAUUUGUAAUAUGUU
rnacentral:tRNA from 1 species